rnacentral:rRNA from 1 species
CUGGGGGGUAGAGCACUGUUUCGGCUAGGGGGUCAUCCCGACUUACCAAACCGAUGCAAACUCCGAAUACCCAGAAGUGCCGAGCAUGGGAGACACACGGCGGGUGCUAACGUCCGUCGUGAAAAGGGAAACAACCCAGACCGCCAGCUAAGGUCCCAAAGUUGUGGUUAAGUGGUAAACGAUGUGGGAAGGCUUAGACAGCUAGGAGGUUGGCUUAGAAGCAGCCACCCUUUAAAGAAAGCGUAAUAGCUCACUAGUCGAGUCGGCCUGCGCGGAAGAUGUAACGGGGCUCAAACCACACACCGAAGCUGCGGGUGUCACGUAAGUGACGCGGUAGAGGAGCGUUCUGUAAGCCUGUGAAGGUGAGUUGAGAAGCUUGCUGGAGGUAUCAGAAGUGCGAAUGCUGACAUGAGUAACGACAAUGGGUGUGAAAAACACCCACGCCGAAAGACCAAGGGUUCCUGCGCAACGUUAAUCGACGCAGGGUUAGUCGGUUCCUAAGGCGAGGCUGAAAAGCGUAGUCGAUGGGAAACAGGUUAAUAUUCCUGUACUUCUGGUUACUGCGAUGGAGGGACGGAGAAGGCUAGGCCAGCUUGGCGUUGGUUGUCCAAGUUUAAGGUGGUAGGCUGAAAUCUUAGGUAAAUCCGGGGUUUCAAGGCCGAGAGCUGAUGACGAGUCGUCUUUUAGAUGACGAAGUGGUUGAUGCCAUGCUUCCAAGAAAAGCUUCUAAGCUUCAGGUAACCAGGAACCGUACCCCAAACCGACACAGGUGGUCGGGUAGAGAAUACCAAGGCGCUUGAGAGAACUCGGGUGAAGGAACUAGGCAAAAUGGCACCGUAACUUCGGGAGAAGGUGCGCCGGCUAGGGUGAAGGAUUUACUCCGUAAGCUCUGGCUGGUCGAAGAUACCAGGCCGCUGCGACUGUUUAUUAAAAACACAGCACUCUGCAAACACGAAAGUGGACGUAUAGGGUGUGACGCCUGCCCGGUGCCGGAAGGUUAAUUGAUGGGGUUAGCGCAAGCGAAGCUCUUGAUCGAAGCCCCGGUAAACGGCGGCCGUAACUAUAACGGUCCUAAGGUAGCGAAAUUCCUUGUCGGGUAAGUUCCGACCUGCACGAAUGGCGUAACGAUGGCGGCGCUGUCUCCACCCGAGACUCAGUGAAAUUGAAAUCGCUGUGAAGAUGCAGUGUAUCCGCGGCUAGACGGAAAGACCCCGUGAACCUUUACUGUAGCUUUGCACUGGACUUUGAGCCUGCUUGUGUAGGAUAGGUGGGAGGCUUUGAAGCGUGGACGCCAGUUCGCGUGGAGCCAUCCUUGAAAUACCACCCUGGCAUGCUUGAGGUUCUAACUCUGGUCCGUGAUCCGGAUCGAGGACAGUGUAUGGUGGGCAGUUUGACUGGGGCGGUCUCCUCCUAAAGAGUAACGGAGGAGUACGAAGGUGCGCUCAGACCGGUCGGAAAUCGGUCGCAGAGUAUAAAGGCAAAAGCGCGCUUGACUGCGAGACAGACACGUCGAGCAGGUACGAAAGUAGGUCUUAGUGAUCCGGUGGUUCUGUAUGGAAGGGCCAUCGCUCAACGGAUAAAAGGUACUCCGGGGAUAACAGGCUGAUACCGCCCAAGAGUUCAUAUCGACGGCGGUGUUUGGCACCUCGAUGUCGGCUCAUCACAUCCUGGGGCUGAAGCCGGUCCCAAGGGUAUGGCUGUUCGCCAUUUAAAGUGGUACGCGAGCUGGGUUUAGAACGUCGUGAGACAGUUCGGUCCCUAUCUGCCGUGGACGUUUGAGAUUUGAGAGGGGCUGCUCCUAGUACGAGAGGACCGGAGUGGACGAACCUCUGGUGUUCCGGUUGUCACGCCAGUGGCAUUGCCGGGUAGCUAUGUUCGGAAAAGAUAACCGCUGAAAGCAUCUAAGCGGGAAACUUGCCUCAAGAUGAGAUCUCACUGGGAACUUGAUUCCCCUGAAGGGCCGUCGAAGACUACGACGUUGAUAGGCUGGGUGUGUAAGCGUUGUGAGGCGUUGAGCUAACCAGUACUAAUUGCCCGUGAGGCUUGACCAU